AUUGAACGCUGGCGGCAGGCCUAACACAUGCAAGUCGAACGAGUGGCGGACGGGUGAGUAGUGUCUUGGAAACUGCCCGAUGGAGGGGGAUGACUACUGGAAACGGUAGCUAAUACCGCAUACCAUCGGAUGUGCCCAGAUGGGAUUAGCUAGUAGGUGGGGUAUCGGCUCACCUAGGCGACGGUCCCUAGCUGGUCUGCGAGGCUGACCAGCCACACGGGAACUGAGACACGGUCCAGAAGCAUACGGGAGGCAGCAGUGGGGAAGAUUGCACAAUGGGGGAAACCCUGAGGCAGCAACGCCGCGUGCGGGAUGACGGCCUUCGGGUUGUAAACCGCUUUCAGCGAUGACGCGGUAGUGGCAGAAGAAGCACCGGCUAACUACGUGCCAGCAGCCGCGGUAAUUC
rnacentral:rRNA from 1 species